rnacentral:rRNA from 1 species
CGCGUAGGCGGUGCUCUAAGUUAGAUGUGAAAACUCUGGGCUCAACCCAGAGCCUGCAUCUAAAACUGGAGUGCUAGAGUUCUGGGAGGGGGUAGCGGAAUUCCUGGUGUAGCGGUGAAAUGCGUAGAUAUCAGGAGGAACACCGGUGGCGAAGGCGGCUACCUGGACAGAAACUGACGCUGAGGCGCGAAAGCUAGGGGAGCAAACA